CAAUAAUAAUUAAUAAAUAAAUUUUGAUUUUAAUUAAAAAGCUAAACACUCAAUUCAACAACUCUUACCUUUACUUUAUAAUUAUUUAAUUCGGGAAUCUGGAGUUAGAAGAAUUCGGAAGCUUUUUUCUAAAUAAAAUACUAUAAAAAUAAAAAUUUGAUUAUUAUUUUACUUUAAAAUUAAAUUUUAUUUAAUAAUUAUUUCUUAUUUCAUUUCGUUGCUAAUUUCAGUUAAAUUAAGUUCUAUCAAAUUUGACACCACCUAAUUAGUUGACACGUCAUUCGACCUAGUUUUACAGUAAAAAGCGUCAAGAGACUUAAAAUUCUUAAAACUUUACGCCUAUUAUGUUAAAGAAUUACGCCCAGAGUCGAGAGGAGGUGUUAAAUAUUCAUAAGGCAGGAAAAAAAUGGAUUUAAACUUAUCAACGCCUCGUAUGGUAAACGAAUAAACGAUUACGACAGUAAUAAUAAUCAAGCUGAGGGCCCUGUAAACGUAACCGCAGAUGGUGUAACUCUGGCAGCCGGAAGUUGGCCUCUCGGGUGCCUUGUGGCAUUUGUUAUUCUACGUACGUACACAAUGGUCUUGGUCUAAAUUAAACCGAUCAUACUGGAUCGUCCUCAGUGGAAUGUCAAUGCUGAUUAUUCGAAUCAAAAUUGAAAUGUCAAAAACUGAGGUUAUGUAAAAAUAAUUAAAAAUGUACUAUGUU